GCGCACAUGCAAGUCGAGCGGUAAGGCCCUUCGGGGUACACGAGCGGCGAACGGGUGAGUAACACGUGGGUGAUCUGCCCUGCACUUCGGGAUAAGCCUGGGAAACUGGGUCUAAUACCGGAUAUGACCAAGGACUGCAUGGUUUUUGGUGGAAAGGUUUACUGGUGCAGGAUGGGCCCGCGGCCUAUCAGCUUGUUGGUGGGGUAAUGGCCUACCAAGGCGACGACGGGUAGCCGACCUGAGAGGGUGACCGGCCACACUGGGACUGAGACACGGCCCAGACUCCUACGGGAGGCAGCAGUGGGGAAUAUUGCACAAUGGGCGAAAGCCUGAUGCAGCGACGCCGCGUG
rnacentral:rRNA from 1 species